CUCGUGGAGGUUCGAGUUGUAAUUUGUAGAAGAUGCUUCGAGCGAGGCCGCGAUCGAAAUCCCUUGGAACAGGGUGUCGCAGAGGGUGAGAAUCCCGUACGCGGUGGAUGGUCUUUGCUCAUGUGAAGCUCUCUCGACGAGUCGAGUUGUUUGGGAAUGCAGCUCUAAAUGGGUGGUAAAUUGCAUCUAAAGCUAAAUAUGGGCCAGAGACCGAUAGCGCACAAUGUAGAGUGAUCGAAAGAUGAAAAGCACUUUGAAAAGAGGGUCAAACAGUACGUGAAAUUGUUGAAAGGGAAGCGCUCGCCACCAGACGUGCGCCCGGUCGAUCAUCUCGGGCUCGCUCGGGUGCACUGGAUCGGGGGCAGGCCAGCAUCAGUUUGGGUGGUCGGAGAAAGGUCGGAGGAAUGUAGCACCGCUCGCGGUGUGUUAUAGCCUCGGACGACAUGCGACCCACCGGGACUGAGGCCCGCGCUUCGGCGAGGAUGUUGGCGUAAUGGUUGUGAGCGACCCGUCUUGAAACACGGACCAAGGAGUCUAAUAUCUAUGCGAGUAUUUGGGUGUCAAACCCACGUGCGGAAUGAAAGUGAACGGAGGUGAGAGCCUCGUCNCGGGGUGCAUCACCGACCGAUCCGGAUGUCUUCGGAUGGAUUUGAGUAAGAGCAUAGCU
rnacentral:rRNA from 1 species